AAAAAAAUUUUUUUUGAAGUAUAGGUUUUUUUUUACAGAACUGAAAACAUUCUUGUUACUUUCCUUUAGUUUUGAAAGUCUCAUACAUAUAAACACUGUACUGUGAUUAUAUGACCCUCAUUACCCUCUAUUAAAAUGCCUUCCUUUCUAUCUGAACCUUUUGUGAUUCCCAGUGGCUACAACAUGAAAGAAAAUCAUAUCAUCUCCUUCAGUGACAACGAUCAGUGGUUUCUUUGAAAGAGAUGGAGCUUCCCUGGCACCUUCUCUAUUCAUGAUGGAAUGAUGAAGGACUCAAUCUUAUUUAGAUAGAAGCUUCCAGUGGGAAGCCAAGUCAUGUGGUUGAUACGUUCCUGAGUCUUGCCAUCCAAAGCACUUUCUGGAAGGAGCUAUGGAAGCACACUUGGGGUGGAGGAUGCUAGUACAGUGGUUCUCAAAGAGUGGUACCCUGACAGGCAGCAUCAGCACCGCAUGGGGAUUUGUUAGGAAUGGUCCCUACCUGAGACAAACCUGGGUGGAGCAGUAAUCUGUGUUUUAAGAAGAAUAAGAGUGAUUUCCAGAACUUUGAUUCUAGUGAAUUGGCUGUGCUUAUGGGCAUAUAGAGUAUGAAUCACAUAGUGGUUGGGGAUUGAGGGGAAUUGGUCAGUCUUUGCUUAUUGAGAAAAGAGGAAAUGAUUUUUUAAGAGGCAGACUUUAGGUAGGUGUCACAGUGCUUGUCUGUAAUCCCAGCACUUGGGAGAUAAAGGCAAGAGAAUCAGCAAUUCAAAGAUAGUCUUCACGAUAUAGUGAAUUAAACGUCAGCCUGGGCUAUAUUAGACAGUCCUCUCCUAAUGGCUCAAGUGCAUGUAUGUCUGUGUGCCUCUGUGUGUGUGUGUUUCAUGAAUUGUUGGUCAGUGUUUGGGUAUGUGUGCAUGUGUGCAUAUAUGUAUGAGGGCCAGAGACGUCUAUCAGUUAUCUUCUUCUUUCAUGCUCCACCUUAGGUUCUUUAGGACAGAUUCUUUCAUUGAUUCUGAAACCUGUUGAUUCAGCUAGAGAGGCUGAUCACUAAGUACCGGGAAUCUCCCUGUCUUAGGCUUCUCACCUCCAGCAGUGGGACUAUAGAUGAACACAGCUAUACCUGAUUCUAGGUCUCUAAAGUCAGGUCUUCAGGCUUGCAAGACAAACACUGUCAAUGCUAUUCCCUCAGCUUCAAAGCCCUAUCUAAAAAAUGUAACAUAUAUUUUAUAAAGCAUUAAUAUUUGACUUAAUAGAAAACAUGUAAUAAAAGGCUGGGCUUUCAUUUGUAAACUAAUUGCUUGCACCAAUCUCCAAGAGGGGUAAUCAGGAUGAGCAGGUUAUUAUAACAUACACUAUGACAUGGUUCUGAAAUUCUAGAAUAAUUGUUCUAUUAAGAGAACACAUUCCUUUCCAUAAUAGGACAGAAAUUUAACACAGCUUUAUAAAAUCACAUGCUAUUCUUAUAUUAGGCUGACUUAGCCAACUGCAUCUGUCUCCUGAGAUCCCAGUUUCUACAUCUGAAGACCAUAUGUAUUGUCAUUCUGCAUGACUUAUCCCAUUGGAAUGUGACAAGGGAUUCAGUGUGUGUGAGACACUGUGAAGUACUGUGAAUACCAAGACAUGAAAGCCACAAAGAUGGAGGAUGGUUGAUUAGACACUGUUGCUGAGAGAGUAGUUAGAACUUGACACAAAAAUUAUGUGCUUAUUCUAAUUUCUCUGUCAUCUAUAUGACUUUUGGUUUUGAUUUGGUCAUGUGUUACUUAAAAUUUUUUAACCUAAUUUUAUGAACUUCAAAUUUUCAUUUCUCUAUCAAAAUAACGCUAGUGAAAGAUAUGCACAGAAUUAUUGUGAAAAUAAAAGUAGGUAAGUUGAGAAGGCAGAUUUUUAUUUUAAUAUUUUUAUUUACUUAUACAUCCCAACUGCAGUUUUCUUUCCUCCUCCCUGUCCCCUCCGUCCAUGUCCCCUCUCCCCCUCCUCAGUUUUAUAAAACACAGACAUUACCAUUUUUAGAUGCCAUCCUUGGGAUCUUUGUUAUUUGAUGUGUGGGUUGAAGAGGGUUCAUGAAUGUUGACAUAAUGAUAUCACCAGGAGUCGGGAGUAAGUCUGCAGCUCAGCAGAUUUUAUGAUUACUAAGAUUAUCUGUGUUUAUUUGUAUAUUAAUUCAGCUUUAAUGGACUGUUUCAAUUUUCUCAUGAAAUGGGGGAUAUCCACAUUUGUUUCAUUAAAUAAAGUGAGUCUGAAAUUUGUAUUGUUUCAA